AGAGGUGAGGGCAUCUGGCUACAGCAUCUGUCACCCCAGUGGUCAUUGGGGUUGAUUCAGCUGAUCUGGCUGGCUAUAAGGGUGUCCCCUUCCUCCCUCACCACUCCAUCCGUGUCCCUCCCAAAGCUACAUACUUGGUUGAAGAGAAUUACCUUCCCCAAAUAGAGGAAGACCUGUCUUCAUUCAAGGGUAUGCAAGUAGAUGCGCUCCCCUGAUAGUACCUCCAAACAAACUGUAAAUCUCAUUGUUGAAAUUUCCAAAUGUGAUUCUGAAUAUCAUAUAAGAGAAUGAGUAGAUAAAAAUGGUCAGGAAACAUUU
rnacentral:snRNA from 1 species